rnacentral:lncRNA from 1 species
UACAAUUAUAUAUUAAAGCAAAUUAAGAAUUAUUACAAAUCAAAUGAAAAUAAAAAAAGUUCAUCGUAAUUUAUUAAAAUAUAGAUCGUCUUCAUGCUCUUGAGAUCCUUAUCAUCGUUUCUUUGAAAGACACACCUUAUGUCGACGAACCCAACAUAAUUUUAUGUCAUCUUAUGUUCUUUCCUUACCCCUCAUAAACGAUAUCUCCAUAUAGCAACCAUCUUCUUUGCUACCUUUUAGGUAAGGAGAGAAAGUACAUAGGCAAAUUAGAGAGUACCGAAAAUCAUCCUUCCACCGAUAGAUAGAUUUUUACCCGUCCAUGAUGAAAAUUUCCUUUGCAUUGAAUCUAAAAUAAGAGACCAAGUAGAGUAACAUCUUAGAUUUGCACCAACCUAGAUCCUCAAAAAUUUAAAUGGAGUUGAUCCAACUGAACAAACGAAAAAGAUAGAAGCAGCCUGACCAAAAUUAUCAUGUAAUUAAAUUAAUACCAAAGAGGUUGUUUUUUGAAAAGUAUAUCUUCAAUCCCGAAACGAGCUUGAAGCCUCUUAAUAUAACUUUGAUUCCCCACGGGUUAUCCCAACAACCUUCGCACUCUAAAAUGGUGUCAUCAACAAAUUGUAAAAAGAGGAAAUUCAACGAGCUAGGGUUAACAACUUUUGGAAUAAGGGCCACAAAAGCUGCAACAAUCACUUUAGGAAGAUUGGCGUUUGAGUGGAAUUCAUUUAUAAAACAUCAGCCUAUUUUACUUUUAUAUUCUAUUUUGUUGUAACAAAUGUUUAGUUUUCAAUAGGAUAACUCCGCAUAAUAAAA